UAGGGAAUAUUAGUAAUGGGCGAAAGCCUGAGCUAGCAACGCCGCGUGUGCGAAGAAGGCCUUCGGGUUGUAAAGCACUUUUUGAGAGGAUGAGGAAGGACGGUGCUCUCAGAAUAAGUCUUGGCUAACUACGUGCCAGCAGCCGCGGUAACACGUAGGAGGCGAACGUUAUCCGGAUUUACUGGGCGUAAAGCGCGUGUAGGUGGUUUGGUAAGUAGGGCGUGAAAGCUCCUGGCUCAACUGGGAGAGGCCGUUCUAAACUGCCGAACUAGAGGAUGGUAGAGGGAGGUGGAAUUCCGGGUGUAGCGGUGGAAUGCGCAGAUAUCCGGAGGAACACCAGUGGCGAAAGCGGCCUCCUGGACCAUUCCUGACACUCAGACGCGAAAGCUAGGGUAGCAAACGG
rnacentral:rRNA from 1 species